ensembl:snRNA U2 U2 spliceosomal RNA
AUCGCUUCUUGGCCUUUUGGCUAAGAUCAAGUGUAGUAUCUGUUCUUAUCAGUUUAAUAAAAUAUGUGGUUCAUAAUCUGAUUUUAGUCUUAAGGUUAUAAAAAUGUUCAUUACAACCUUUAAAAAUGUUACUACCCUCU